rnacentral:misc_RNA from 1 species
AAGUCGUAACAAGGUUUCCGUAGGUGAACCUGCGGAAGGAUCAUUACCGUGUUCUGGGUCCCCUCGGGGGCCCGACACCCCACCCUUUGUAGUUACAUGACUAUCGUUGCUUCGGCGGGACGGCCGCCCCCUCCCAGAGGGGGGACAGGCCGCCGGGUCCCAAAUCGCCCGGAGAGCGCCCGCCGGAGGACCACAAACUCCUGUCUUUGAACGAGUACGUCAGAGUGAGAAUUUACAAUAAUUCAAAA